GGGCGAUGGGCUCUGUCUGCCAGGCAGCUGACAGCACACACACACCUCAUGCCAGCCCCCACGUGUUGCCAAAGUGCAAAAGGGAAAUUUAAUAUUGCCAUCCCACACAGACUGUAACAACAGUUGUCCUAUUUCUAAUGUCCUCCUGCUCAAUCCCACGUGUUCAUCUGGAAUAUGUACAUAUAUUUAUACAACCUACUCAUUCACAUGUAAUCUGUAGACUCAAGUAAAGUGCAUUAUUCCAAGGCCACAUGUUUAUAUGUGUAGGUAGGUAGGUAGGUAGGUAGGUAGGUAGGUAGGUAGAUAUAUAUAUAUAUAUAUAUAUUGGAAGAAUGGGCCAAAAACAGACCUGAGCAAUGCUUGCAACUAGUUUCUCCAUACAGGUAGUAGGUAUUAAAUACAUUUCAGUAAGCAUGUUCAGUACUUUUCCCUGUGUCAUUUCUCAUUAUUACACAUGACUUAAUUUAUAGACAUCUAUGUUUUGAUUUUUUUGAUUUUUUUUUGCAUGUGUGGAUUGGAUGGAUUGUUACUGACAUCUGGCAAGAAUUUCAUCCCAAUAGCACCUUUAGAAAUAUGUGUGGCAUGUUCAAUACUUACUUUACCCACUGUAUAUAGUCUAAAAAUAACUGUUUAGACAUGAGAAUAGUGCACAUUGGGGCUAAUCUUAUUUUUUUACAUCCUCCAUAUAUAUAUAUAUAUAUAUAUGUUGUGUUUUUAAAUAAUGUUUGCAUGUGUAGGUAUGUUUAUGUAUAUGUAUACACAUAUACAUCAGUCUGUUUAUCUGUGCUUUUAAUUUUACACAGCAUCUGAGGGAGUAUAGCUAUAAUUUCAUUAUCCUUCCAUAAUGACAGUGAAAUACUAGGAAAAACUGUAAUAUAUUGUAAUGCCAUCUAACAAAAUUACUUUUUUCCUCAAGUGGACCAUAUUCUGUGUAACAAAUUUAUCUAUUUUGACACCUAGAAGCAUGUCAUCAUCCAAAUACUGUUAUCUUAACUGAGUUUGGCUCUGCUCUUUGAUUUGGCAGCCAAAUCAAAUGAAUCUUGAAGUUUGUGGUUGCCUUCAAACACAAAUACAAAUUCUCAGUUCUAUCAAGAGUUUGUUUGGUUUUGUUUUUUUGUUUUGUUUUUUUGUUUUUAGUAAUACUGUUAGUUUAUUGCACUGUACCUUGAAUACAGUCUUAAACUUUUUUGUUGCCAAAAUAUUAUUAUUGUUAUUAUUUUUAUUUUUUUUCUUUUGCAGUGAAAUAUAUCCUAUAAAUAACUUGUUUUAUUGGUUCAAAAUGUAACGUAUGUACACACACACACACACAUACACAUGUCAGUCUGUCUUUUAUAUAGAUUUUAUGAACCAUAUGACAGAGUAUAAUGACAAAAACACAUAAAAAAUUGUAAUAUGUAAU
ensembl:lncRNA